GAUGAAGAACGUAUCGAAAUGCGAUAAGUAAUGUGAAUUGCAGAAUUCAGUGAAUCAUCGAAUCUUUGAACGCACAUUGCGCCCGCCAGUAUUCUGGCGGGCAUGCCUGUUUGAGCGUCAUUUCAACCAUCAAGCCCCCGGCUUGUGUUGGGGACCUGCGGCUGCCGCAGGCCCUGAAAAGCAGUGGCGGGCUCGCUGUCACACCGAGCGUAGUAGCAUACAUCUCGCUCUGGGCGUGCUGCGGGUUCCGGCCGUUAAACCACCUUCAUAACCCAAGGUUGACCUCGGAUCAGGUAGGAAGACCCGCUGAACUUAAGCAUAUCAAUAAGCGGAGGA
rnacentral:misc_RNA from 1 species